rnacentral:rRNA from 1 species
UUGACCUCNAAUCAGGUAGGACUACCCGCUGAACUUAAGCAUAUCAAUAAGCGGGAGGAAAAGAAACUAACAGGGAU